rnacentral:misc_RNA from 1 species
AACGCAUCUUGCGCUCCUUGGUAUUCCAUGGAGCAUGCCUGUUUGAGUGUCACGUAAACCCUCACCCUGGCGAUGUUGACUCGUCGCCCGUGGUGGAUUUGGACUGUGCCGUAGUUGGCUCGUCCUUAAAUGCAUUAGCUUGUGCCAGUUAGAGUGCUCGGUGCGGUGUGAUAAUUAUCUACGCCGUCGCCUCAUGCCUCUUCUUGUGGUGCUGCUUACAGUCGUCCCUUCCUGGGACAAACGUAAAAACACAAAGCUUUGGCCUCAAAUCAGGUAGGACUACCCGCUGAACUUAA